GUGUUACUACCUGAGCUCUAGUAGUAAGACAAUACUGAAUGUAAUGACAACUUUUAUUUUCUAGGGUUCUGAAACCACUGCAGAUGAUGACUGCAGCCAUGAAAUUAAAAGACACUUAUUCCUUGGAAGGAAAGCUAUGACAAACCUAGACAGCCUAUCAAAAAGCAGAGACAUCACUUUGCCAACAAAGGUCCAUAAAGAAAGCUGAGCGCCGAAGAACUGAUGCUUUUGAAUUGUGAUGCAGAGAAGACUCUUGAGAGUCCCUUGGACUGCCAGGAGAUAAAACCAGUCAAUCCUAAAGGAGAUCAGCUGUGACUAUUCACUGGAAGGACUUGUAAGCUGAAUGUAAAGGGCCAGCUCAUUGGAAGACACUGAUGCUGGGACAGAUCAAAUGAACAGGAGAAGAGGGUGGCAGAGGAUUAGAUGGUUGGAUGGCAUCACCGACUCAGUGGACAUGAAUUUGAGCAAACUCCAGGAGAUAGUAGAGGACUGAGGAGCUUGGCAUGCAGUCCAUGGAGUCACAAAGAGUCGGACAUGACUUAGCAACUAAACAACAACAAUACCGCAUGCGUGGGUGUGAGGACGUGGGGCAGUUAGCUGGGACUGUCCCCCAGCAAGGGACUUCUCGUGUAUGCCAAUGGUCAUGGUGUCAAUAUGGGCCCCUGAAAACUCACCAUCUAUCAGGUUUGCAAACAACUCUCGGUGACGACCAUUCGGAUGGCCUUUGGAAUUGCACCAAUGAGCACACGCAUCACGGAGGCACAGAAUCAGGCACUACCCCCGCCUCCAGUUUCGGCCGGGAUGCCGCCCGCUGCCUUGUGCGUGAGCCUCAGGGGCGCGCACCCCGGCUCCCCGCCCCGCGAAACCCUGAUCCCUCUUUGAUGGAGAGCCACCCAGCCUUCAGUUGCUCCCUGAGGUCCAGAAGCUGAGUAGAGAAUUUAACCUGAAUUUAAGUCCCUUAAUUCAGUUUUUUAUACCAAUUAUUCCUCCUUUCUAUUCAAUGAUCUUAGUUAUAGAUCCGUAGUCUAUUAUCCUUUAAUUUCUGCAUGAGUUUAGAAGUAAACAUGGCUAUAAAAUAAUAAUGACAUCUUUGUCAACUACAAUUUAGUUCCAUCUAUUGGUUUUCUUACCGAUUUAAAAAUUAAUUUAUCAAUGUCACACUUCAUUCUUAACGUUGACAUUUCAUUUUCCACGUAGGCUGAGAUGCACCUUUCUGAGUUAUCUAUUGUUUCUGCAUCCAAGUCUUCUCUAAAAUAUUUGCUAUCA
rnacentral:lncRNA from 1 species